UGGGGAAUAUUGGGCAAUGGGCGAAAGCCUGACCCAGCGACGCCGCGUGGGUGAUGAAGGCCUUCGGGUUGUAAAACCCUUUCGUGCGGAAAGAAUAGUCCUGUAGCGAAUAACUACGGGAUUUGACGGUACCGCAGGAAGAAGCACCGGCUAACUCCGUGCCAGCAGCCGCGGUGAUACGGGGGGUGCAAGCGUUGUUCGGAAUUAUUGGGCGUAAAGGGCGCGUAGGUGGUUGUGAUAGUCAGAUGUGAAAUCCUUCGGCUCAACCGAAGAACUGCAUCUGAAACUUCAUAGCUCGAGUACAGGAGAGGGAAACGGAAUUCCCGGUGUAGAGGUGAAAUUCGUAGAUAUCGGGAGGAACACCAGUGGCGAAGGCGGUUUCCUGGCCUGAUACUGACGCUGAGGCGCGAAAGCGUGGGGAGCAAACAGG
rnacentral:rRNA from 1 species